CCGAGUUUCCCUCGUGCUAGUAGAUAAAUGGAGACCAAGCCCUCCCGCGCCUCAGUGAUCGGGCCAGUCGCAGAAGUAGUUGCCGUCGUGAAGCAGUGAGCGCACCGAAAGGACAAAUCGUGCCGCCGUGGUUGAUUCGUGCAGAUGGCAACGUCGGGUCCUCGGUAGGCGGUAUUGGAGGACCACUAGUAUUAUCCGCACGUUGUCAAGACCUUUCUAGGCGAGGAGAUCCACCAUUGAUGCACCAAUUGCUCGCCGGGUUUUGAACUCCGCCGCCAAGCCAUUGUCUAUCGUGGUCAGCUCCGUCGUAGCUUCAACCCCGGGUAAGAACCCCACCAAACGACUCAUGUCUGUUCCCCCAUCGCGUUGCAGGGACGGAUUGAAGAAUGGCGCAUCAGGACUUGGGAUUGGUCGUGCGCCGACGACUUCCACCGUGGGUUUGGGGCGCCAGCGCCACUUUGGGUAGCCACCGGGGGCUUGGGUGGAGGCAUGUGCACUGUCCAUUGGAUGAAUAAGGGCCAAGAUUAGAUCCUGCUCACACCUCUUCAUGGGAGGAAUACUAGCCGCUAAUUCUUGGAUGAACGACCAUGAAUAGACGUACCCGUGCCGGUUCGGUCAGGUUAUGAGGGUCGUCCAUUGAGCGAUGGACGGAUAGGAUUAGCUCCCCAUUUCAUUAAAACAUAGCCAUCGAUCUCCAAUCUAGCGGAUGGCAUGGCAACAUGUACCGGUUCACAUGGGGGGCUGAUCUAAUCGGUGCCACUCGUGCUUGAUCGGGCGGCCAGGACUUAACCAUAUCCCUUCGGCCACGUGUUUAUGCAAAAGAGACCCUCAGAUUAUUACAAAUCAACCCGCCGUCCUCUCCUAUAGAAAAACUACACAAUCAGGCCCAGGUCUUUAUAAAAACAACCCUGAGAUUAUGAAAAUUUGUGGCCGUCGUCCACGUCCCUAGGAUAUUCAUAUAUUAAUACAAGGAAAUGAAUUAUCAGUACAUAGAUAAACCUAUAAUUUUCGAAAAUUCAUAACUUUUGCCUUUUAAUUCCGUUUUACCCCGUUCAAGUUGCGUUAGCUUCGUAUAAAUAUUUACUAUGCAGUAACAACAUUAAUUAUACCAUAUCACAUACUUUUAUAGUUAGAUAUUCAUUUAACAUAUGUCUACUAGAGUAACUCUUCUAAUCAGAGCUAACAUGUCCAUAAUUAUAAUUUGGUUAGAAUAUGAUCUCUAUUCAAGUUAUAAUUAAGAUUAAAGUGAAUUAAUUAUUUCUUUGGAUUAUCUUUAUCUCAUGGUUUAUAAAAUCAACUCAAAACCUAGUUUUAAUUACUUAAUCACUUAGGUCUUCCAAAAACCAUAUCUUACUAACAGUAACUCCAAUUUUAGUGGUUCUCGAACCUAGGUUCUUGAUACAACACGUAGAUUAUUAGUAUGCAGUUUGUUCUUAUGUUUGAUGUGAUGUUAAUUUUGCCUAUACCAUGGUUGUUUGUAUUGCUACAUUUAGCAGUGAGGUCGCGAGAAUCUGAAGAUCAUCCUGGUACCUGGAAUCUCAAGUCUAAGGCAAGUUGUGCCCUUGAUCACUUUUCUUUACCCAAUAAUGUUCAUGUUAAUCACGGUGACAUGCUCAGGUUAAUUUGAUGGGACCUAAUAGGUUUCUCUAGACUUGUUCAUCCUACACCUUGUUUACCAUGCAUUGAACUUUUAGGUAGCUUUGCUAAUGCUCUACCUGGUUUUGGGAUUAAUAUUACAUUAUGAUCAUGUUCCAAUUAUACUGUUGUUUUAAUUAUUGUUCAUGAUAAGAUCAUUGUGUUAAUUGGAACAUGAAGCUUAACUUGAGAAACACGUGCCACCACAAGGGUGGAAUGGGACGCCCUUGGCUGACUAAUUAGGAAAGCUAGUGGAGGACUACCUUACCCAAAAGUGGCAAGGGCAGUAGGGGAGUAGGCGUGUAGGGAGGUUCUCGGGUUGACUUUGCUGCAUUGGCGGUCAGACGGGGGAUCCCUGCAUUGCACUCCCUAGAAACUGUAGCGGGUUUUUUGAAGCUAGUGGAACUUUAUAAAGGCAUCGUAGGUUACCCUACCUCGUCUCGUCGGUAGAGAUGAAUGGGACUUCUAGACCACUUGGCAACCGGGUGACAUGACUUGUGGGUAAAGGGUACAACCUCUGGAGAGUGUAAAACUGGUAUACUAGCCGUGCUCGCCGUCAUGAGCAGCUCAGGACUCUCGCAUGAUUAACUUAUGGAAUUAAUAAAUUCAAUUUGUCAUUUGCAUGACAUUGUGGUUUAUUAUUAAUUUUGAUCUAUUAUUACUCUGGUUUGGUAUCUACUUAUACUUAGUAACAACUAAUAAAAUUUUGACCAAGUUUAAAAGAAAUGCUCAGCUUUAACCAUCCUCUUUGGUAAGCCAUACACUUCACCUGAGCUCCCACCUUUGGCGAGUUCAUGCACAUUAUUCCCCACAACUUGUUGAGCAAUGAAUGUAUGUGAGCUCACCCUUGCUGUCUCACACCCCCCAUAGGUCAAGAACAGGUAUCGCUGGAUGAGGCGCAUGGAGGAUGCUGUGAUGAGUUCGUGAGAGGUCUAGGUCGUCAUCUCCCAGUAAACUUUGGGUUGGUGGAUCAUUGUCUUCAUAUGAUGUAAUUAUUUAAACUACUUGUACAGAACUCCGUUAUAUAUUAAGGUUGUGACAUUCGUUUCUGUACCAUGAGUCAUCAUAUGUGUGAGACUUGGUCCCAACACACUUGGUGAUUAUGUUCGUGCCCGGGUCUUGGUGCCCCGAAACUCGGGUG
rnacentral:lncRNA from 1 species